rnacentral:rRNA from 1 species
GACGAACGCUGGCGGCGUGCCUAAUACAUGCAAGUCGAACGCUGAAGGAGGAGCUUGCUUCUCUGGAUGAGUUGCGAACGGGUGAGUAACGCGUAGGUAACCUGCCUGGUAGCGGGGGAUAACUAUUGGAAACGAUAGCUAAUACCGCAUAAGAGUAGAUGUUGCAUGACAUUUGCUUAAAAGGUGCAAUUGCAUCACUACCAGAUGGACCUGCGUUGUAUUAGCUAGUUGGUGGGGUAACGGCUCACCAAGGCGACGAUACAUAGCCGACCUGAGAGGGUGAUCGGCCACACUGGGACUGAGACACGGCCCAGACUCCUACGGGAGGCAGCAGUAGGGAAUCUUCGGCAAUGGACGGAAGUCUGACCGAGCAACGCCGCGGGAGUGAAGAAGGGUUUCGGAUCGUAAAGCUCUGUUGUAAGAGAAGAACGAGUGUGAGAGUGGAAAGUUCACACUGUGACGGUAUCUUACCAGAAAGGGACGGCUAACUACGUG